ACGAAUUCCGUUCUCUGAUUGGCUACGCUACUCACCAUCUAUUCUGUGCAGAUAGUGGGUAUUUGGUCCCCUCGCCACCGGGGGAUUUCGCCACCAACGAACUCGCCACCAAGAGAAGUCUCCUCGCCACCAAACACCAAUAGAAAAUUAAACUAGAGUAAAGUAGUGAGGUAUAUUAGGUGUUCGAGCGACUACAAUGUCAAUCGACUCGUAAGUUUGUUAGCUUGUCUGUUUGCAAAUUUCGAUGUCAACAUGUUGUCGGUGACGUGAUACGAGAUGUGCUCCGUUGUCUAGCGAGAAACCAUAGCUUUCUAGAAUUCAACUACAUGUACAUGUCUUUGAGAACUGACUGUGCUGUUAUUGCUCAGGUGCUUCUCUGUUGCGUUUACACCUAAGUUUACAUAAGUGUUUCAUAAAAGGCUUCGGCUAAGCUAUCAAACAACUUCAACCUUACAUGGGCUGUUUGAUCCUCCAGAAGUCGUCGAGUGGAUUGUGGGCCCUAAAUAAAAAUCGCACGUGUCAGUGAAUACUGUUCACAUCCACUUCGGUGAAUAAUUACCAAAUAAUCGUUAACUAUCUAUCCUGUGGCUAGUUAUCUACUAAAUGUACCUUUCUUGUUUUGUGACAGGAUAAUUCCUUAAGAGAGUGGUCGUUUAAGAAGGCAACAGCAAUCAACACUUACAGUGCAUGCCAUCCGGUGCCAGUCCCUUUCAACCUUAUAAGCAUGCCACUUGUCGCUCUAUCCAAACUGUGUCAGCGGUGUUUCUUUAAAAGGAAGUUCUUCGAAAAACCUGGAGUUGAUGUUGAACGAAGGGAUGCAGCGUUAGAUCAAGUGGUGAUGAAACUUACGAGAACUUACUUCGCAACUUUUGGUUAUUCAUUUCCGCUUACAGACGAGCGAAGGAUGGAUCAGCUGCUACACGAAACGGACAAAAAUCGGCAGAUGGCCAAUCAGAUCAUUCGACAGCUGUUCCGACACCAAGACUGUGAACAGAGAACAUUCAACGCCAAAGCUUGCGCAUGGCAGUCGCUUGGAAUUGGGAUCGAAAAUUGCCUGUUGACCUACGAGGGUCCUGUUUCCUGUACUCUUUGUGAUACUUCAAAAACUCCCACGGAAUAUCAUGGUGCCCGGUGUCUGACACCCUUUACACGUGAAAAUCCCAGGUUGGAGGUUCUAAUUCAGGAGAGUGGUGAAAGGCGAAUUGUGGGGGUGGGUGUUGUGUACCAAGGCUACAACUGUCAUUACAUGCCCGGGUGGAUUGAUGGAACAGUCGGUUAUCAUGCUGAUGAUGGUAAAAUAUUUGAAGCACGCUGUGGCGAUAACCUGGGUAGAGAAGUUGCAGACGCGAUGGCGUACCGUGGUGAUCUCAUGGCUUGUGAAGUUGAUUUCGAUGGGGCAAAAAAUGGCGUAAUUCCCAUUGUCUUUUUCAAGAACAGCCAUGUGGUAGGACGUACUUCAAUGGAGUACAUCUCUGGACGAACGGAACUUUUCCCCUACGUCGCAAUGGGCUACAAAGGAAUUCGUGUCCUUGCAAAGCCCUGAAUGUUUUCAGGUUUCCGUGACAGUUCGCCAGUUUCUUAUUUUACACCCGUGUGGAGAGAGGUACUGGGAGAGUUAAGUGUCUUGCCCAAGAACACAACACAAUAGUGACAAACGGCAAACCGCUAGGAGUCACGUGACCAAGGGUUGCGCUCCGAGAAGCAGGUUUUCACAUGUGCCCACGUGCGAGCAGCGAGGCCCAGUCUUCGGCAGCCGUCCAGCACAUCACAAGGGACCCGGAUGUGUAUGAAAAA
rnacentral:misc_RNA from 1 species